AUUGAACGCUGGCGGCAUGCCUUACACAUGCAAGUCGAACGGCAGCACGGGAGCAAUCCUGGUGGCGAGUGGCGAACGGGUGAGUAAUAUAUCGGAACGUGCCCAGUAGUGGGGGGAUAGCCCGGCGAAAGCCGGAUUAAUACCGCAUACGACCUGUGGGUGAAAGCGGGGGAUCGCAAGACCUCGCGCUAUUGGAGCGGCCGAUAUCAGAUUAGCUUGUUGGUGGGGUAAAAGCCCACCAAGGCGACGAUCUGUAGCUGGUCUGAGAGGACGACCAGCCACACUGGGACUGAGACACGGCCCAGACUCCUACGGGAGGCAGCAGUGGGGAAUUUUGGACAAUGGGCGCAAGCCUGAUCCAGCCAUGCCGCGUGUGGGAAGAAGGCCUUGGUGUAACACUUUGUCAGGGAAGAAACGGUUUAGACUUAAUACGUUGUAACUAAUGACGGUACCUGAAGAGUAAGCA
rnacentral:rRNA from 1 species